CCUACGGGAGGCAGCAGUGAGGAAUAUUGGUCAAUGGCCGGAAGGCUGAACCAGCCAUGCCGCGUGAAGGUCAGUGCCCUAUGGGCGUUAAACUUCUUUUGUGCGGGAGCAAUAAUGGUCACGUGUGGCCAGACGAGGGUACCGUACGAAUAAGCAUCGGCUAACUCCGUGCCAGCAGCCGCGGUAAUACGGGGGAAGCAAGCGUUAUCCGGAUGUUUUGGGUUUAAAGGGUGCGUAGGCUGUGAGGUAAGUCAGCGGUGAAAUGCCCCCGCUCAACGGGGUGAAGUGCCAUUGAUACUGCCUUGCUGGAAUGCGGAUGCGGUGGGAGGAAUGUGUGGUGUAGCGGUGAAAUGCAUAGAUAUCACACAGAACACCGAUUGCGAAGGCAUCUCACGAAUCCGCGAUUGACGCUGAUGCACGAAAGCGUGGGUAUCAAACAGGAUUAGAUACCCCAGUAGUC
rnacentral:rRNA from 1 species